GGAUGAAGUGUGUGAGUCUGUAAGGGGUGCAUUGAGUGUGUGUAAGGAAUGCAUUGUGUGUUUCUGUGUGUGCAAGGGAUGCAUUGUGUGUAAGGGUUGCAUUGCGUGUGUGUGUGUAAUGCAUCGUGUGUGUAAUGCAUUGUGUGUUUUUCUGUGUGCAAGGGGUUCAUUGUCUUUGUGUGUAAGGGGUGCAUUGUGUGUGAUUGUGUGUGUGUGUGUGUGUGUGUG
rnacentral:lncRNA from 1 species